AAGCAGUUCAAUAUGCUAGCAGCUGUAUGAUCUUUAGCAUGUUAUCAUGUUGAAUACAUAUCCUCUUCGUGCAUUUUAGCAAACAGAUGUGAGACAGGUCCUGCUUGGAGGAGUGUACUGCAUUUAGAGCUCGCCGAGUGAACAGUGCCAAAAGCUGCAUUCGGCAUGAGGUUCUCGGGGCCGCCAAGGUGUAUUCAGGUGCAUCUAGGCCUUACUGAGGAUAAUACAUGUGGGACGAAUGAUUAGGACUCCCACAAUCUCCUGCGGAGUGCCUGUCUCAGGACGGAGGGGGAUGCUGGGGGGCUGCGGUCGGCUGAUGUUGACAUGUGGCGCUCCAGUGUAGAGCGCGACCAUCUGCCACAGCCUGUCGGAGCUAGAGCGCUCGUGUUGAAGCUCUUAUUCACUCCCACGUGUCAUGCUCAACAGCGACCUUAAGCCGGCUGGGAUGAGUCGCUCUGGAAGGAAUGCAGAUUCAUCAUUCCCAGACAACCAUCUCUGCAGUCAACCGUGAAAGUUUUGUCGUAUGAAUUCAGGUCGAUCUUGUUUUGUGCACCUUACGGCUUUGACAGCUGCUCGCCCAGAGGGAGGGAAAGACCUGCUUUCAUCCUUGGAUGUUCACCUGACCCUUUUCGUAAUGUAAUAAAGC